CCGAUGUGACGGAGCGACCAACCUGGUGUGACGGAGCGAGCCAACCCGAUGUGACGGAGCGACCAACCCGCGAGCCAACCCGAUACGGAGCAACCAACCUGGUGUGAUGGAGCGAGCCAUCCCGAUGUGACGGAGCGACCAACCUGGUGUGACGGAGCGAGCCAACCCGAUGUGACGGAGCGACCAACCUGGUGUGACGGAGCGAGCCAACCCGAUACGGAGCAACCAACCUGGUGUGAUGGAGCGAGCCAUCCCGAUGUGACGGAGCGACCAACCUGGUGUGACGGAGCGAGCCAUCCCGAUGUGACGGAGCGACCAACCUGGUGUGACGGAGCGAGCCAUCCCGAUGUGACGGAGCGACCAACCUGGUGUGACGGAGCGAGCCAACCCGGUGUGACGGAGCGAGCCAACCCGAUACGGAGCGACCAACCCGGUGUGACGGAGCGAGCCAACCCGAUACGGAGCGACCAACCUGGUGUGACGGAGCGACCAACCCGAUACGGAGCGACCAACCCGAUACGGAGCGACCAACCCGAUACGGAGCGAGCCAACCCGAUACGGAGCGACCAACCCGAUACGGAGCGACCAACCCGAUACGGAGCAACCAACCCGGUGUGACGGAGCGACCAACCCGAUACGGAGCGACCAACCCGGUGUGACGGAGCGACCAACCCGAUGUGACGGAGCGACCAACCUGGUGUGACGGAGCGAGCCAACCCGGUGUGACGGAGCGACCAACCCGAUACGGAUAAAAAAAAUAGUGAGGAGGCCACAGCAGUUAGUUCAUCCCCAGUGACAGGACACCCAGAGGCAUCAUCUCCUCCUGUCAAGAAGUCAGCUAUGAACUGAACUGUUUGGUGAACUCUUCAAGACUCAGGGGGGAAACAAGCCUACUUUGCAGAUGGUGAAGAAAGAGGUUACCUUAUACAAGGCUGUGGACUGCAUUUCACUGGAUUCCAACCCACUUGAAUGGUGGAGGACCGAUAAGCCCACAUAUCCUCAUAUUGCCAAGUUAGCAAAGCACUACCUUGCUGUAUUUGCUACCUCAGUCCCUAGCGAGAGAGUGUUUUCUACAGCUGGAGACAUUGUAACUGCCAGCAGAUCUGCCCUUUCCGUAGACAAGUUAAUUUUUUUGACAAAAAACAUGAAAGUUGAAUGAAUCUGAGCAGGCCUUCAGCCUGGAGCUGUUAAUGCUGCACUUUAGACUGUUGUAUAGUUCUUAAAAAUCUGAGCAGGUCUAAAAACUGAAACUGUUGAUACUGCACUUUACACUUUGGAAAAGUUAUACAUAUUUUUUUAAUAUGAGCAGGCCUACAAGCUGGGGUUGGUAAUGCUGCACUGUUAUCCAUAGUUAUUUAUUUAUUUAUAUUUAUUUAUAUUUUUCAUUAUAUUUUAUUAUGUGAUAUUGGUUUGAGACUGAGUAUUUUAUUUAGUGGAGAACUGUGCAGCAGUAUUUUAUUUCUUAUUCUUUUUUAUUUUAUAUAUAUUUUAUGCAUUAUAUUUUAUUAAAAACUGUUUAAAAAAGUGUAAACAAAUUGUUAAAAAAAAGUUUAUAGUAAUAAACAACCUGCAGUUUAAUGUUUGCAUUUCUUUCCCUUACUGUACCGAAAAUGAACCGAACCGUGACUUUAAAACCGAGGUACGUACCGAACCGUGAUUUUUGCGUACCGUUACACCCCUACCCACAAAUUACAGCCACUGGAUCGUACCGUUUAUGGCCCCCUAAAACUUCAUGUCAACACAUUUUGCGAUACCUGGAUGAGAAGUCACCCAGGCCUGACAAUAUCCAUCUACGACAUUCCUGGAAUUGUUAGGUUGGCCCUCCCAUUGGCUGGAACACCAGGCAAUGUGCAUAAUGGCUUUAGCAGCACUGGAAGUUGGCCAUAUAACCGUGAUAAAUUGAAAGACAGUGACUUUGCACCAUCUUUGAUGACAGACCGGCUGCCAACACCAGUUCUUCCAGAGCAAGCUGGGACAUCUGCUUCUUUGGAAGUUUCUCCAGUGCACACUGGGACUUCUGCAGUUCCUCCAGUGCAGACUGUUAGACCUCAUCCAAGAGCAGAACCACGGAAGAUAACAAAAGCAAACGGUAGGAAAAAAUGCAAAUCGGCCAUCUUGACAGACACCCCCAAAAAGGAGGCUUUGGAGAGGGAGAAAGCAAAAGUUAAGAGAAAGCCAACAAAAGUUAAGAGAAAACUGACAAAGAACACACUGGAAACAAGCCAACAAACCAAAAACGAGAAGAAAAAGCAUGCAGAGAAGGACAAUGACUCUGAAAAAGAUUUUUGCAUUGUCUGUUUGGAGAGCUACUCCAGACCGAGAGAGGUGUGGCUGCAAUGUUGGCAGUGCAAGGCAUGGGCUCAUGAAGCCUGCACUGAUGGUGGUUCCAUUUACAUUGGCCACAAUUGGGAGUCAGAUGGGGAAUUGUGAUUACUGAAGCUAUGAAAUAAUCAGUUUGUGUGCUUUUGGUGGUGUUAUGAAAUUGUUAGCCUACUGCUUGUUGCUGCAGUUGUAAACUUUUAUAUUUUGCCUUUUAAAUAUUGUUAUUAAGUCAAUGAACUCUGGUCUAAGAUAAAUAAUAGAUGUGACAAAUGAGUGAUCCCAUGAUUCUUUAAGUGAUUUUAAAUUUUAAAUAAUCCCUUAGGGCCUAUAGAAAUCAGUUUGUGGGCUUUUGACAAAGGUAUUACAUGGUUGUGCA